rnacentral:rRNA from 1 species
UUGAACGCUGGCGGCAGGCUUAACACAUGCAAGUCGUACGGUAACAGAGGGAAGCUUGCUUCUCUGCUGACGAGUGGCGGACGGGUGAGUAAUGUCUAGGGAAGCUGCCUGCUUGAGGGGGAUAGCGGAGCGAAAGUUCCGAUAAUACCGCGUAAGCCCGAGAGGGGAAAGUGCGGGACCGCAAGGCCGCACGCGAGCAGAUGCGCCCAGAUGGGAUUAGGCAGUUGGGGAGGUAACGGCUCACCAAACCGAUGAUCUCUAGCUGGUUUGAGAGGACAAUCAGCCACAUUGGAAUUGAGAAACGGACCAAAACUCCUACGGGAGGCAGCAGUGGGGAAUAUUGCACAAUGGGGGAAACCCUGAUGCAGCCAUGCCGCGUGUGUGAAGAAGGCCUUCGGGUUGUAAAGCACUUUUGCAUUCGAGGAAGACAGCGCGUAAAUAAACGCGUUAUUUGACGUUAGAGUGUGAAUAAGCACCGGCAAACUCCGUG